rnacentral:rRNA from 1 species
GGGAUUAGAGUAAAAGUCGUAACAAGGUCUCCGUUGGUGAACCAGCGGAGGGAUCAUUA